UUCAUUAUGUUAAAAUGUGAUAUUCAGUCACUAUUUUCCUAUAACUUAAUUCUGCGAAUUUCAAAAAAAAUUUUCC